GAUGAACGCUGGCGGCGUGCUUAACACAUGCCAGUCGAACGAAGCAUUUGCGACAGAUUUUUUCGGAAUGAAGUUGCUUAUGACUGAGUGGCGGACGGGUGAGUAACGCGUGUGUAACCUGCCUUGUACUGGGGGAUAGCAGCUGGAAACGGCUGGUAAUACCGCAUAAGCGCACAAUGUUGCAUGACAUGGUGUGAAAAACUCCGGGGGUAUAAGAUGGACUCGCGUCUGAUUAGCUAGUUGGUGAGAUAACAGCCCACCAAGGCGACGAGCAGUACCCGACAUGGGAAGGGGACCGGCCACAUUGGGACUGAGACACGGCCCCGAAUCCUACGGGAGGCAGCAGUGGGGAAUACUGCACAAUGAAGGAAAAUCUGAUGCAGCGACGCCGGGUAAGUGAAGAAGUAAUUCGUUAUGUAAAGCUCUAUGAGCAGGGAAGAUAGUGACGGUACCUGACUAAGAAGCUCCGGCUAAAUACGUG
rnacentral:rRNA from 1 species